GCACUAGUAGCUCAGCCUCAGAGCGUUG
rnacentral:tRNA from 1 species